rnacentral:rRNA from 1 species
AUUGAACGCUGGCGGCAGGCUUAACACAUGCAAGUCGAGCGAGCGGCGGACGGGUGAGUAAUGUCUGGGAAACUGCCUGAUGGAGGGGGAUAACUACUGGAAACGGUAGCUAAUACCGCAUACCAUCAGAUGUGCCCAGCUGGGAUUAGCUAGUAGGUGGGGUAAUGGUUCACCUAGGCGACUAUCCCUAGCUGGUCUGAGAGGAUGACCAGCCACACUGGAACUUAGACACGGUCUAGAAUCCUACGGGAGGCAGCAGUGGGGAAUAUUGCACAAUGGGAGCAAGCCUGAUGCAGCCAUGCCGCGUGUGGGAAGAAGGCCUUCGGGUUGUAAAGCACUUUCAGCGAGGAGGCGUUACUCGCAGAAGAAGCACCGGCUAACUCCGUGCCAGCAGCCGCGGUAAUUC